CAAGUCGAACGAGCGAGAGAGAGCUUGCUUUCUCAAGCGAGUGGCGAACGGGUGAGUAACGCGUGAGGAACCUGCCUCAAAGAGGGGGACAACAGUUGGAAACGACUGCUAAUACCGCAUAAGCCCACGGCUCGGCAUCGAGCAGAGGGAAAAGGAGCAAUCCGCUUUGAGAUGGCCUCGCGUCCGAUUAGCUAGUUGGUGAGGUAACGGCCCACCAAGGCGACGAUCGGUAGCCGGACUGAGAGGUUGAACGGCCACAUUGGGACUGAGACACGGCCCAGACUCCUACGGGAGGCAGCAGUGGGGAAUAUUGCACAAUGGGGGAAACCCUGAUGCAGCGACGCCGCGUGGAGGAAGAAGGUCUUCGGAUUGUAAACUCCUGUUGUUGAGGAAGAUAAUGACGGUACUCAACAAGGAAGUGACGGCUAACUACGUGCCAGCAGCCGCGGUAAAACGUAGGUCACAAGCGUUGUCCGGAAUUACUGGGUGUAAAGGGAGCGCAGGCGGGAAGACAAGUUGGAAGUGAAAUCCAUGGGCUCAACCCAUGAACUGCUUUCAAAACUGUUUUUCUUGAGUAGUGCAGAGGUAGGCGGAAUUCCCGGUGUAGCGGUGGAAUGCGUAGAUAUCGGGAGGAACACCAGUGGCGA
rnacentral:rRNA from 1 species